rnacentral:lncRNA from 1 species
AGAAAACGUAAAUUCAUCACUUCAAAAUGAUUAUUCUAUCAGCAUGGGAGUGCUCGAAUUGCAUAUGGGCACACGAGGCAUUAUCGAGUUAAAAUCCGUCUGGAUAUUGCCAAAUAUUUACAACGCUUCUCUGAAUCUAUACAGCAAUUUACUGAAUAUUUCGUAGUAAGAUAAAAAUCCAGGGUUCACAUUAUGAGGUUUAUAUACAAAUAUAACAUUUGCAAAGCGUUGCUCCAAGACUCGACUCGAGAAAUAACGAUCAACUCUAUAGAUAAUAGGAAAAUAAAAUUAGUGUAUAGUGAGUAUUACACGAUAAUCACGACAUAUUAAUUUCUUCAACAUCUAACCAGUCUGGAGAGUCUUUAUCAGAAUUGUAAUUUUUUUUUCUGAAAUUAGCAGGCAUAUCUCCAUCAUCUUCUUCAAGAUCACUAAAUGACACGUCAUCCUCGUUCUCAACUGGGAUGUUGGUUCCACCGGAUCCUUGUUUUGGGGGGGGUGGGGGGGGGGGUGUUGUAAUCAAACCUUAUUGAAUCAAAUAUAACAGAAACCACCCCCAACUACUAUCAGUGAUUUACACGCAAAUCCAAGCUUCCAGGGACAAAUAUUUUAUGACUUGCCCACUAAGAGAAUUAAGCCACAUCAAAAAUAAAUAAUUAUUAAAUGAAUCAAGAAGAAAAGGGAAAUGGGAAGAAUAUAACAAACAGAAGAUGCGUAAAUGGCAUGCAAGGGAAUGAUAUGGAGGGAAAAAAAUGUCAUCAAAGGCCUAGCACUUUAAUACAUAUCCUUUUAGAAAGACUAGAGAUCAAUGACUAAAGUUUGUUCUGACAGAAAUGCUGUUACUUAAAAUAUUGUUCUUGGUGCUCAUUUUCAGUUGGGUUCGGUGGUGGUUUUUUCUUUCUUUCUUUUUUCUUUUUUUGUUGGGGGGGGGGGGGGGGGGUUUUAAGGAUACGGGCUACUCGACCGUUACCGUGAGGAGUCGAGAUCGACCCAAGUUAUUGUUCGACACUGUUUGUACUCUGACCGACAUGCAAUACGUAGUAUUCCAUGCAGCCAUUAGCUCCAAGGAAUCUAUAGCUGUUCAGGUAAAAGCACAAUAUAGUUUAUAUCUUUGCACAGAUUCUGUGAGUGCGUUCUUUGUUUCUAAUCUUUUAACUUCUGAAAAUCCCAGGAAUACUACAUAAAGCACAAAAGUGGACGCCCUUUGGAUUCAGAAGAUGAGAAGCAGUUGGUUACCCAGUGUUUGAUAGCAGCUACGGAAAGGAGAAUUUCUCAUGUACGUUACAGAAACUAACGUUUUUCUCCCACUUGUUUACAAAGAAAAAUUUAAUAAUCGUAAUUGUACAUAAUUGUGCAGGGGUUAAGACUAGAUAUUUGCACAGAAAAUAGGAUAGGACUAUUAUCUGAUAUCACACGAGUAGUACGAGAAAAUGGAUUAUCUAUAACAAGGGCUGAGAUCGGUACUCGGGGUGAGAGAGCAGUUGGCACAUUCUAUGUAAAAGAUACUUCGGGAGAAAAUGCUGAUCCAGAAACACUUGAAAAGGUGAGACGAGAAAUCGGAAGUGCUGUUGUAGUGGUAAACAAAUCUUCGAGCUCCCCUUUGCGAGCAACAUCCAGAACAUGUAAAAGCAACAGCAGCGAAGUACAAGAAAGGUCGAGGUUUUCCCUGGGAAGCCUGUUGUGGUCGCACCUAGAGGGAAUUUUGAGCAAUUUCAGACCCAUAAAAUCCUGAAGUUUUAUAGAUGGAAUAAGGGCUGCAUUUACCUGUAAAUACCGAUUAGCACAUGUGAACUAGUUUCUCAUUCAUCUGUAAAUAAUAAGAGCCAGCAGCAGCCCCUACAGGAAAUGAGAGUUUAAAUAAAACAAUAAAACAAUGCAUGUGUCUAUCUGCUUUGUUUUCCCUUCAAGAAAAAGCAGUACCAGAGUCCCAAAAAUUCUCUUUUUUGGGCAAAGAUUUAUUCUUUGCAUUUGCAGAAGUUCGUGACAAAGUAUUUUGCAAAACAAUAGUCCAAGAAAACGUAAAUUCAUCACUUCAAAAUGAUUAUUCUAUCAGCAUGGGAGUGCUCGAAUUGCAUAUGGGCACACGAGGCAUUAUCGAGUUAAAAUCCGUCUGGAUAUUGCCAAAUAUUUACAACGCUUCUCUGAAUCUAUACAGCAAUUUACUGAAUAUUUCGUAGUAAGAUAAAAAUCCAGGGUUCACAUUAUGAGGUUUAUAUACAAAUAUAACAUUUGCAAAGCGUUGCUCCAAGACUCGACUCGAGAAAUAACGAUCAACUCUAUAGAUAAUAGGAAAAUAAAAUUAGUGUAUAGUGAGUAUUACACGAUAAUCACGACAUAUUAAUUUCUUCAACAUCUAACCAGUCUGGAGAGUCUUUAUCAGAAUUGUAAUUUUUUUUUCUGAAA